ensembl:misc_RNA 7SK 7SK RNA
GGGUGUGACAGCAAUCUGGCUGCAACAUCUAUUACUUCUCCAUUGAGCACCAGGGUUGAUCUGGCUGAUGUGGCUGGCCAGGCGUGUGUCUCCUUCCUCCCUUGCCACACCCUGUGCGUCCCUGCUGAAGCUGCUUGGUCAGAGGGUGACUGACCCGGCUGGAGGAGGAUUGGUUGUGCUCCCCUGCUAGAACCUCCAAACAAGUUCUCAACUUAUAUCAGAAACUGUGCUCUGUUUGCUUGUAUGUUUAAAGGGUGUGGCUUAGUUUAACGUGUAGCCUAAGGUGGUUGACCGGUUUA